UGACUGACCACUGACUUAUCGAGUUCUGUCUUAAAGAGCAUCUCCAUGCAAAUAUAUAACAUGAUGAUUUGGAUAUCUUAUGGGUAUGAUGAUUUAGUUUUUUUAUAUGAGCAUAUGAGGUGUGUGUAUUUAUUCGAGCAAGUAUGGCAUAUAUCUGUUUCUUUGGAUAAUUAAAUAGGAGAAUAACUUGAACUCAAGCAGCUUUGUGGCAUUUGCCUACUGUUUAAAUUGUUUACAUUCAGAUUGGUUUCCUGAUUUCUAUUACACAAUUGAUCUUUGCAUUCCUUUUGGCUUUGUCUGUUGUAUAUAGCUGUGAGCUUUGUUUACAUUUACUUAUUAGGUUUCUUAGGGUCAUCGUCCAUUACUGCUGCCACCGCUCCUUUGGUUCUUGGUCAUUGCUCUGACAAAUGUCUCCUUCCCAGAUAAUUUUCUUCUGCCUUUUGUUAUUAUUAUGCGAGUUGUCAUUGUUUUUUACAUUAUAUGCUAUAUUCCAUGUUCCUUUGGCUUGGAUAAUCCGUCUUUGAUUCAUCGUCCAGUACUGCUGCCGCUGCUCCUUUGGUUCUUGGUCACAUUUAUGCUGUCAUUGUUUUUACAUAAUGGAUUCCUCCGUUCGCAUUUAUCUCCUUUUAUGGUCAGUGGUGAAGAGGGUUAUAUUCCUAACUAUGUAGAGAUCAUUAAGGGAGUCAAGCUGCUUCUCAGAAGUGUUGGGACUAUGAGAUCAUUAAGGGGCAUUGAGCUGCUGCCCAAAGAUAUACUUACUUCAUUGCUUAUAUAUUCCAACCACAGGUUGACUAUAUUUAUUGUGAGAAUCUCAUUCUUUAUAUCAUGUUGGAUCAUCGAUCUUGGAA